rnacentral:rRNA from 2 species
GGUUAAGCGACUAAGCGUACACGGUGGAUGCCCUGGCAGUCAGAGGCGAUGAAGGGCGUGCUAAUCUGCGAUAAGCGCCGGUAAGGUGAUAUGAACCGUUAUAACCGGCGAUACCCGAAUGGGGAAACCCAGUGUGAUUCGUCACACUAUCAUUACGUGAAUACAUAGCGUAAUGAAGCGAACCGGGGGAACUGAAACAUCUAAGUACCCCGAGGAAAAGAAAUCAACCGAGAUUCCCCCAGUAGCGGCGAGCGAACGGGGAGGAGCCCAGAGCCUGAAUCAGCAUGUGUGUUAGUGGAAGCGUCUGGAAAGGCGCGCGAUACAGGGUGACAGCCCCGUACACAAAAGCGCAUGUGUUGUGAGCUCGAUGAGUAGGGCGGGACACGUGGUAUCCUGUCUGAAUAUGGGGGGACCAUCCUCCAAGGCUAAAUACUCCUGACUGACCGAUAGUGAACCAGUACCGUGAGGGAAAGGCGAAAAGAACCCCGGCGAGGGGAGUGAAAAAGAACCUGAAACCGUGUACGUACAAGCAGUGGGAGCACCCUUUGGGGUGUGACUGCGUACCUUUUGUAUAAUGGGUCAGCGACUUAUAUUCUGUAGCAAGGUUAACCGAAUAGGGGAGCCGGAGGGAAACCGAGUCUUAAUUGGGCGUUAAGUUGCAGGGUAUAGACCCGAAACCCGGUGAUCUAGCCAUGGGCAGGUUGAAGGUUGGGUAACACUAACUGGAGGACCGAACCGACUAAUGUUGAAAAAUUAGCGGAUGACCUGUGGCUGGGGGUGAAAGGCCAAUCAAACCGGGAGAUAGCUGGUUCUCCCCGAAAGCUAUUUAGGUAGCGCCUCGUGAACUCAUCUCCGGGGGUAGAGCACUGUUUCGGCUAGGGGGCCAUCCCGGCUUACCAACCCGAUGCAAACUGCGAAUACCGGAGAAUGUUAUCACGGGAGACACACGGCGGGUGCUAACGUCCGUCGUGAAGAGGGAAACAACCCAGACCGCCAGCUAAGGUCCCAAAGUCAUAGUUAAGUGGGAAACGAUGUGGGAAGGCCCAGACAGCCAGGAUGUUGGCUUAGAAGCAGCCAUCAUUUAAAGAAAGCGUAAUAGCUCACUGGUCGAGUCGGCCUGCGCGGAAGAUGUAACGGGGCUAAACUAUGCACCGAAGCUGCGGCAGCGACACUAUGUGUUGUUGGGUAGGGGAGCGUUCUGUAAGCCUGUGAAGGUGUGUCGUGAGGCAUGCUGGAGGUAUCAGAAGUGCGAAUGCUGACAUAAGUAACGAUAAAGCGGGUGAAAAGCCCGCUCGCCGGAAGACCAAGGGUUCCUGUCCAACGUUAAUCGGGGCAGGGUGAGUCGACCCCUAAGGCGAGGCCGAAAGGCGUAGUCGAUGGGAAACGGGUUAAUAUUCCCGUACUUGGUGUUACUGCGAAGGGGGGACGGAGAAGGCUAUGUUGGCCGGGCGACGGUUGUCCCGGUUUAAGCGUGUAGGUGUGUGUUCCAGGUAAAUCCGGUUCACUUUAACACUGAGGCGUGACGACGAGGCACUACGGUGCUGAAGCAACAAAUGCCCUGCUUCCAGGAAAAGCCUCUAAGCAUCAGGUAACAUCAAAUCGUACCCCAAACCGACACAGGUGGUCAGGUAGAGAAUACCAAGGCGCUUGAGAGAACUCGGGUGAAGGAACUAGGCAAAAUGGUGCCGUAACUUCGGGAGAAGGCACGCUGACACGUAGGUGAAGUGAUUUACUCAUGGAGCUGAAGUCAGUCGAAGAUACCAGCUGGCUGCAACUGUUUAUUAAAAACACAGCACUGUGCAAACACGAAAGUGGACGUAUACGGUGUGACGCCUGCCCGGUGCCGGAAGGUUAAUUGAUGGGGUCAGCGCAAGCGAAGCUCCUGAUCGAAGCCCCGGUAAACGGCGGCCGUAACUAUAACGGUCCUAAGGUAGCGAAAUUCCUUGUCGGGUAAGUUCCGACCUGCACGAAUGGCGUAAUGAUGGCCAGGCUGUCUCCACCCGAGACUCAGUGAAAUUGAACUCGCUGUGAAGAUGCAGUGUACCCGCGGCAAGACGGAAAGACCCCGUGAACCUUUACUAUAGCUUGACACUGAACAUUGAGCCUUGAUGUGUAGGAUAGGUGGGAGGCUUUGAAGCGUGGACGCCAGUCUGCGUGGAGCCGACCUUGAAAUACCACCCUUUAAUGUUUGAUGUUCUAACGUGGACCCGUGAUCCGGGUUGCGGACAGUGUCUGGUGGGUAGUUUGACUGGGGCGGUCUCCUCCUAAAGAGUAACGGAGGAGCACGAAGGUUGGCUAAUCCUGGUCGGACAUCAGGAGGUUAGUGCAAUGGCAUAAGCCAGCUUGACUGCGAGCGUGACGGCGCGAGCAGGUGCGAAAGCAGGUCAUAGUGAUCCGGUGGUUCUGAAUGGAAGGGCCAUCGCUCAACGGAUAAAAGGUACUCCGGGGAUAACAGGCUGAUACCGCCCAAGAGUUCAUAUCGACGGCGGUGUUUGGCACCUCGAUGUCGGCUCAUCACAUCCUGGGGCUGAAGUAGGUCCCAAGGGUAUGGCUGUUCGCCAUUUAAAGUGGUACGCGAGCUGGGUUUAGAACGUCGUGAGACAGUUCGGUCCCUAUCUGCCGUGGGCGCUGGAGAACUGAGGGGGGCUGCUCCUAGUACGAGAGGACCGGAGUGGACGCAUCACUGGUGUUCGGGUUGUCAUGCCAAUGGCACUGCCCGGUAGCUAAAUGCGGAAGAGAUAAGUGCUGAAAGCAUCUAAGCACGAAACUUGCCCCGAGAUGAGUUCUCCCUGAGACUUAAAGUCUCCUGAAGGAACGUUGAAGACGACGACGUUGAUAGGCCGGGUGUGUAAGCGCAGCGAUGCGUUGAGCUAACCGGUACUAAUGAACCGUGAGGCUUAACCUU